rnacentral:lncRNA from 1 species
CCCGCGCUCCUCCGGGCAGAGCGCGUGUGGCGGCCGAGCACAUGGGCCCGCGGGCCGGGCGGGCUCGGGGCGGCCGGGACGAGGAGGGGCGACGACGAGCUGCGAGCAAAGAUGUGCCCCGGGACCCCCGGCACCUUCCAGUGGAUUUCCUUGCGGAAAGGAUGUUGGCGGUCCCUGUGACCUGUGGAGACACGGCCAGAUCUGCCCUCCAGCCUGAUCUUUUGGCCAGAAGGAGAUUAAAAAGAUGCCCCUCAAGAUGGCUGUGCCUGUCAGCUGCAUGGAGCUUCGUUCAAGUAUUUUCUGAGCCUGAUGGAUUUACAGUGAUCUUCAGUGGUCUGGGGAAUAACGCUGGUGGAACCAUGCACUGGAAUGACACACGCCCGGCACAUUUCAGGAUACUAAAAGUGGUUUUAAGGGAGGCUGUGGCUGAAUGCCUCAUGGAUUCUUACAGCUUGGAUGUCCAUGGGGGACGAAGGACUGCAGCUGGCUGAGAGGGUUGAGAUCUCUGUUUACUUAGAUCUCUGCCAACUUCCUUUGGGUCUCCCUAUGGAAUGUAAGACCCCGACUCUUCCUGGUGAAGCAUCUGAUGCACGUUCCAUCCGGCGCUCAGCUGGGCUUGAGCUGACCAUACUCCCUGGAGCCUUCUCCCGAGGUGCGCGGGUGACCUUGGCACAUACAGCCAUCAUGAUGGUACUUUAAGUGGAGGCUGAAUCAUCUCCCCUUUGAGCUGCUUGGCACGUGGCUCCCUUGGUGUUCCCCUUUUACUGCCAGGACACUGAGAUUUGGAGAGUCUCUUCACCCUCUGAAAACAAGAGGAUGUGUAGCAUAGUGAGCAACAGCUGUGUGCCGGGGACUCAGCAUUAAGUAGCAUGGGAUUACUCAUGACUUCGCACUCAUGGCAGCCUCACAGAGUCUCACUCUGUGGUCCAGGCUGAAGUACAGUGGCAUGAUCCCAGGUCACUGCAACCCCCACCUCCCGGGUUCAAGUGAUCCUCCUGCCUCAGCCUCCCGAGUAGCUGGUAUUACAGGCGUGUGCCACAAAGCCUGGCUAAGUUUUGUAUUUUUAGUAGAGACGGGGUUUCACCAUGUUGGCCAGGUUGGUCUCGAACUCCUGACCUCAAGUGAUCCACUCACUUUGGCCUUUCAACGUGCUGGGAUUACAGGCGAGAGUCACCGCACCCGGACGACUCUGACAUUUUUGAAGAGUCCAGAAUCCUGUUACACCUGGGAUUUAGGCACUUUCAAUCUGAAAAAAUACAUAUCCUUUCAGCACUCUGGACGGACUUGAGAACUGUCCUUACGUGACCUAAAGCUGGAGUAUUUUGAGAUUGGAGAAUUAAGGCCUUCAGUGGGUUGAAUGAGGCCCAACCCACAUUGAAGAGGACCAUCUGCUUUACUCAGUCUCCUGGUUGAAGUGAUAAUCUCAUCUGGACAUACUCAGAAAUGCUGUUUAACCAGCUCUCUGGAAAUCCUGUGGCCCAGUCAAGUUGACACACAAAAUUAACCAUCACACUGCAGAGACACAGUCUAUCCCAAUACCUGUAUUUACUGGAGUGUGGGCACCCUGGCUUCAAGCUCACGAGAAACCAGAAGGAAGUCACUGUGCAUAGCCAUCCCCUAAGAAGAGGGCAUUCCUGCUCUUCCUUCUCCAUGGCUAGAGGAUCUACAUGAACUAUUUAGAUUUUUUCUACCUGGGAGAUUUAACUCCUCUCUCCUAUUUAUUUAUUUAUAUAUCAGCAUGGACUUGCAGGCCAACAGAGAUUUUGAGAAACACAUUGAAGGAUCUGUUAACACUUGAUAUACCCAAUAAAAGCAGUGGUUGUGCCAGUGCUGAUCUGUCUUGAUGUGAAUGUGAACAAUGGGAACCUGAGCUGAGCAGUUAAUGCUAGGGUGACAGAAACUGGACCUCUCCCAAGACAUGUGACAGAGUAAUACAGCAGCCAACUUCUUCGCCAAAUUAAAGUUUUACAAGAUUUAACCUGUCAUCAAGACCUGGGAUUUUGGUGAGCCAGUCUUGGUGCUCUGUGUUCACCUGGUUCAUCUGAGGAGCUGCAUCUACCCUGCCCAUGCCAUAGAUCCUGCCCUGUUUGCUUCUCCUGUUGCUGCUAGUGGACAUGAGGUAACCACAGCCUAGUUCUGUGAUAAGCUCUUCACACCUGUACCCAUAUGGACUGUGGGAGAGUUUCUCUGAUAUGGACUGUGAUGCGGAAGGACAGAAUAACGGGCUCCCAGAUUCACAAGCCCCACCAAGAGGAUCACCCCAGGAACGCUUGGAGGCUGAGGAGUUCACUGAGGCUACUGCAUCUUGAGACUCAGGAUGAAGACCCAGCUUGGGGCUGUCAAAGGUUUUUUGCAUGUCUGACACCCAUGACUCCACCUGGACCUUAUGGCUCCACCCAGAAGCAAUUCAGCCCAACAGGAGGACAGCUUCAACCCAUUACGAUUUCAUCUCUGCCCCAACCACUCAGCAGCAAGCACCUGUUACCUGUCCACCCCCACCCCUUCCCCCAAACUGCCUUUGAAAAAUCCCUAACCUAUGAGCUUUGAAUAAGAUGAGUACGAACUUCAUCGCCCACGUGGCGUGGCCGGCCUCGUGUCUAUUAAAUUCUUUUUCUACUACAA